GGAGCUUGCUCCACCGGAAAAAGAAGAGUGGCGAACGGGUGAGUAACACGUGGGUAACCUGCCCAUCAGAAGGGGAUAACACUUGGAAACAGGUGCUAAUACCGUAUAACAAUCGAAACCGCAUGGUUUUGAUUUGAAAGGCGCUUUCGGGUGUCGCUGAUGGAUGGACCCGCGGUGCAUUAGCUAGUUGGUGAGGUAACGGCUCACCAAGGCCACGAUGCAUAGCCGACCUGAGAGGGUGAUCGGCCACAUUGGGACUGAGACACGGCCCAAACUCCUACGGGAGGCAGCAGUAGGGAAUCUUCGGCAAUGGACGAAAGUCUGACCGAGCAACGCCGCGUGAGUGAAGAAGGUUUUCGGAUCGUAAAACUCUGUUGUUAGAGAAGAACAAGGAUGAGAGUAACUGUUCAUCCCUUGACGGUAUCUAACCAGAAAGCCACGGCUAACUACGUGCCAGCAGCCGCGGUAAUACGUAGGUGGCAAGCGUUGUCCGGAUUUAUUGGGCGUAAAGCGAGCGCAGGCGGUUUCUUAAGUCUGAUGUGAAAGCCCCCGGCUCAACCGGGGAGGGUCAUUGGAAACUGGGAGACUUGAGUGCAGAAGAGGAGAGUGGAAUUCCAUGUGUAGCGGUGAAAUGCGUAGAUAUAUGGAGGAACACCAGUGGCGAAGGCGGCUCUCUGGUCUGUAACUGACGCUGAGGCUCGAAAGCGUGGGGAGCAAACAGGAUUAGAUACCCUGGUAGUCCACGCCGUAAACGAUGAGUGCUAAGUGUUGGAGGGUUUCCGCCCUUCAGUGCUGCAGCUAACGCAUUAAGCACUCCGCCUGGGGAGUACGACCGCAAGGUUGAAACUCAAAGGAAUUGACGGGGGCCCGCACAAGCGGUGGAGCAUGUGGUUUAAUUCGAAGCAACGCGAAGAACCUUACCAGGUCUUGACAUCCUUUGACCACUCUAGAGAUAGAGCUUCCCCUUCGGGGGCAAAGUGACAGGUGGGUGCAUGGUUGUCGUCAGCUCGUGUCGUGAGAUGUUGGGUUAAGUCCCGCAACGAGCGCAACCCUUAUUGUUAGUUGCCAUCAUUCAGUUGGGCACUUUAGCAAGACUGCCGGUGACAAACCGGAGGAAGGUGGGGAUGACGUCAAAUCAUCAUGCCCCUUAUGACCUGGGCUA
rnacentral:rRNA from 1 species